GUGAACGCUAGCGACGUGCUUAAGGUAUGCAAGUUGAACGAUUUGUUUUCGCAAGAAGACUUUUAGUGGCAAACGGCUUAGUAACACGUAGGAACCUACCCCUUAGUUUGGCACAACUCCGCGAAAGCGGAGCUAAUUCCAAAUGGUCUGCUCACGCAGUAAAGGCUUCGCAAGAAGCCGCUAGGGGAUGGGCCUGCGGCCUAUCAGGUAGUUGGCGGGGUAAAUGCCCACCAAGCCUAUGACGGGUAGCUGGUGUUAGCGCAUGACCAGCAAGAGGGGCACUGAGACACGGGCCUCACUCCUACGGGAGGCAGCAAUCGGGAAUUUUGCACAAUGGACGAAAGUCUGAUGCAGCGACGUCGCGUGAAGGAAGACGGCCUUCGGGUUGUAAACUUCGUUAUAAGCACCGGCUAACUACGU
rnacentral:rRNA from 1 species